UUCGGGGGGACAGGGUGACAGGUGGUGCAUGGUUGUCGUCAGCUCGUGUCGUGAGAUGUUGGGUUAAGUCCCGUAACGAGCGCAACCCUUGUCCUUAGUUGCCAGCGGUUUGGCCGGGAACUCUAAGGAGACUGCCGGUGAUAAACCGGAGGAAGGUGGGACGACGUCAAGUCAUCAUGGCCCUUAUGGGCAGGGCUACACACGUGCUACAAUGGCCAGUACAGAAGGUUGCCAACCCGCGAGGGGGAGCUAAUCCUACAAAGCUGGUCGUAGUCCGGAUCGCAGUCUGCAACUCGACUGCGUGAAGUCGGAAUCGCUAGUAAUCGCGAAUCAGCAUGUCCGCGGUCCGAAUACGUUCCGGGCCUU
rnacentral:rRNA from 1 species